rnacentral:tRNA from 1 species
CAUUAAGUGGCCGAAUU